rnacentral:rRNA from 1 species
UUGAACGCUGGCGGAAUGCUUUACACAUGCAAGUCGCACGGCAGCACGGGGGCAGCCCUGGUGGCGAGUGGCGAACGGGUGAGUAAUACAUCGGAACGUGCCCGGUCGUGGGGGAUAACGUAGCGAAAGUUACGCUAAUACCGCAUACGAUCUGAGGAUGAAAGCGGGGGACCUUCGGGCCUCGCGCGAUCGGAGCGGCCGAUGUCAGAUUAGGUAGUUGGUGGGGUAAAGGCCUACCAAGCCGACGAUCUGUAGCUGGUCUGAGAGGACGACCAGCCACACUGGGACUGAGACACGGCCCAGACUCCUACGGGAGGCAGCAGUGGGGAAUUUUGGACAAUGGGCGCAAGCCUGAUCCAGCCAUUCCGCGUGCAGGACGAAGGCCUUCGGGUUGUAAACUGCUUUUGUACGGAACGAAAAGGCUCUGGCUAAUACCUGGGGCUCAUGACGGUACCGUAAGAAUAAGCACCGGCUAACUACGU